rnacentral:lncRNA from 1 species
GGAUUGGCGACCUCCUAGCUCUGCUCCGGUGCCUCGGUAGGAGCGAGCCGAACAGACAGAUCAUCUAAUCACGAAAAAUAAUUUAUCAAUACGCUGAGACAAUCCAUCAUUAAUCCUAGGUCUAGACUCCUAGUACUGACUGUCUAAGAAUCUCGACUCGGGAGAAUUCUACCGAAAAUCCGGCAGAACCUCCCCUACAACACGAACAUUACCCCCCGUAAAAACGGGUCCAGGACCUGCCAGAAGGACACUUCCAAUAUCCAACAAUUUAAACAACGGGAGUCGGGUCCCCAAACUUCACUAUUUCCCGACUCCGCCACACAGCACAAAAUACGAGGCAGGCCAACUGACAGACAAAUAUUUAUGACUCACAAAUAUCAUCAAGUACUCAAUAUAAACCAUUAGACACAAUUAAACCAAGAAUUUCUAAAACUAACGGGCCAAAGAUAAUUACCGAGACGCUCGAUCGCUCGGUCGACUCGCCUCCAGCCGCCGGAGUCCGAUCGACGAUCCGAACACACCAUCGGACUCACAACGACGCGCUGAUGACGAUCCCCGCUUCCGAUUUUCUGAUCUGACACCCGACCAUCCGGAGAGAUUUGCGAACGAUCACGGCCGUCGAUUUGCAAACGAAGCCCGAUCGCCACGAAACUGGUGCCAUCGCGAAGCUUGAGAUGAGGAGAGUCGGGAUAUGUCCUCCGAUCAUCCAUCCUCCGCCGGAGCUCGCCGGAAAAGCCCAAAAACACCGGCUGCCACCAUUAUCUCUCUCCACCGGAUCUUCCGUCUCCGGCCACCACAGGCGUCGCCGCUGCUGCCAAAAGAAAGCUCUCGCCGAGAGGAGCCGAUCGCCACCCAACUCGGCCGCCAACAACGCGGGAAACGGCCGGAAACACGCCUGGAAGCCGCUGCCACACGCGCGAUUCUCGCCGCCUCACGCUACCGCUGGAGCCGCUGCUGCCGCCGCCGCUGCGCUCGCCAGCGUACGCCGCUCCACGCCCCCGGAGCUCGUCACCGACGCCGCACGCCGUCGCCUUCCUCCCCUUCUUCUUCGGCCAUCGCCCUCUCUCUCUCUCUCCCGAUCUACUCUCUCUCUCCCCGAUUUUUUUCCCUUCAAUAUCGACAUUUGACCCCUGAACUUUUCCUUAUUACAAUUUAGUCCAUCAACUUUCUUAAUUACUUACAAUUUCAUCCUGCAGAAUUCCAAUUUGACCCCCAAACUUCUUUUUAGCCUUUCAAUUAAGCCCUUAACUAUUUAAUUUGGGCCAAAACAGAAUUAUUGAAAAUACACAAUUACAAAAAUACCCCUGACCGACAUAUUUAUUUAAGAAAAUACCAAACUCACAAAUUUCCAUUAAAACCCCAUAAAAAUAACAUUAUACUUUUAAUCCUUAUUCCAAAAUAAUCUUCCAAUUAAAUCCUACACACAAUUAAAUUAAAUAAUCAAUUUCCAAUUCAAAAUUUAAUACUACUAAUCAAUUAUAAUACCAAUUUUCUCAAAAUUCUUUUAUAAAAACAUCCCUUAUAAUUUCUAUCAUAAUUUUCUAAUAUAUAAUUUUAUUUAUAUAAAUAUGCAUUUGGGAAAAUUUGAAUAACCAAAAUAUAAUCAUUUCUCAAAUAAUUUACUUGAAUAAAAAUAAAGCUAAAAUUAACUUAAAUAUAUAAAAAAAUUCCGGGUGUUACAAUUUUGUUCAAACUUUUUUCUCCCCUGGGAAUGUGUAUGGUAUUUCCAUUUCAACCAAGCAGCAGAUGGAGAGAUCAUCCUUGCCCGAAGAUUCAAAGUCAAAUGGUGGGAUAAAUUCAACCACCAAGAAAAAUUAUCUCUAAAGAUGGUAUAAAGUUUUCUUUCAAAGAAUAGCUUUUUGCCACCUCCGAAACAACAGACCACUUCUCUGGCACAGAAGUCCUUCAUUAUUCUAAAGCUAGUGGCGACUCAAACAAAAGAAGAUUUCUUACAAUUGAUCAAACAGUUGUCGGAAACCGCCUCUUCCAAAGGAAAAUCUAAAGCUUCAUCUUCCUCUUCUAGCACCAGCUCAGCAGCAAUAGAUCUAGAUGGUGACUCGAACGAAGAUGACUAUUUUGGGAUAUUCAAACCCAUCAAAUAACAUCUUUAUAAAGCCUUUGGGUUGAAAAUAAAAAAUGGCAGCCCAAAAUAUUUAUGUAAUAGGCCAAAUGCCCAAUAAAUAAAUAAAUAAAUAAAAGAGUCAUUUAAAAAGAAAAGACAAAAGACUCUGCACCUCUACUUUUUUAAAAGUAAGAGAUUCCUCAAGCGUGGCAGACAACUUUUGCAAAAGUCAUGGAGCCCUUCACUCCAUUUUCAAAAACAUCCAAAAGACGUGGAGCCCCUCAUUCCACUAUGAAGAGCAUCCAAAGCUUCAAUUAUGAAGCUUCAAGGCUGAAGACCUCUAUAAGCAUAUGGAAAAGGAUUAUAAGUAUAUCCAUAUAGGCCUUGUCCAGGUAGGAAUAAAGCCCAUUACCAGAGAAGGUUUAGAUACUUCCAUAUUAGCAGUCCUUGUUGAGUCGAGUCUCAAUAAAGGACCUAUUUCUUUCAAUUGUUUUCCAAAUAUCAUGAUUUCUUUAAACGACAAGAAUGUUUUAAAGAGCAUCGUUCUUCAAAUAAAGACACAAUUACAAAAUGCUUGAAGGAUCUAUUCCGAUAGCAUUAAUUUUCAAAAUUCAUUACAAAGCUAUGAUUUCUGCCUUUGGUUCCAAACACAAACUUCAUUCACCAAAAGGAGAAACACUGUUCCUACAAACAGAUCUAUCCAAAUCCAACGCUACUAUUCCAAAAACCAUUCAAUGGAAAGACAUUACACUUCCAGAAGAAUGGAUCCUUGAAGGUGCAACCCAACCUACAUCUCCAAAGCAAACAGGAACCAAACACAAACCUCAAACACAUAGCCCAAUUCCCAGAUGGAAAGGUAAAGAUCACAUUUAACACAAAAUCAACAUCCUCUAGAUUUUCUGAAGAUGGUUCUUCAACCUCAACCAUAGUUAUUGGAAGGGUAUCCAAAAUACCUUUUGUUAUCUAUGCUCCUUACAAAGAACCAAUUCCAUCUCAAACUCAACCCAGAUUUUCAACAUCUGAUGUUCUAAAUACACUUCAGAAUGUUGAUUACCAAAGCAAUAUCCCCAGACCAGUUUACACUGAUCCAAAGAAAGAUGACGAAGAUAUAGAGAUAACCUCUACCCCAUCUUCACCAUCACCAUCAGCCAUAACCCAAAACCUUGAAGCAGAGAUCAACAUGAUUUCAAAAGAGUUUGAAAUUGACAAAAAACUCUUGCAUGAAGAUUUCUAUUCAAAGAAAAACCAUCUUAAAAAACUUUAGUUUUUUAGGAAUUUUUUAAAAGAAAAGGAUAGUAUACAAGAAAGAUACUAUCAAUUUUGCAUUCAAAACAAAGCCCAAAUCAAAUUUUUUGAUUGGUUUCAAAUUCAUUUCAAAGAAAAUGGCAUCCUUUAUCCCUUUAAGGAUAAGUCCAUUAGUCCUAUCACAGUAAGGAACAAAGCCCCUGAGUGGAAGGUAGGAGAAAACCUAACUGUCCAGUCUGAGCAUCCUCCCCUUAGGAAGAAAACCAUUCCUUAUGGAUAAAGUGAGAUAGAGGCUACACCUUACAAACUGGUAGGCGAAGACCUAGAUAGGAAUGUCAAGAACAUUGUUCAGCAGAACAAUUUCUCAAAUACCUGUCUAAACACUAUAGGAAAGCAACUGGUUAGGAUAGAAAAUCAUAUUCAAAAGCCUCAUGUAGUUGUGACCUCUCCAAUCCCCAAUACUGGUCAAUCAAAAGAGUCGAACCAGUCAGAAAAGCUUAAAAACCCAAUUUUUAAGCCAUAUCAGCUUACAAAGCCAAGCCAAGACCAUUUCCAAAAGCAAACUGAGUUUGCCAAAGCAAUCAAAGAGCAGCUUAGUCUUUUAGCAACCUCUGAGUCAUCCAAAAACCUAGUACCAGAUACUCCUCAAAGUAGUAGGAAUAUCAGUGCUAUAGGACAAGCCCAAAGCGAUGAGUCUAACGAUUCAGAGCUUGAAAGCCCUAUUCAAAAACCCUUCAAUAUCAACAGAUUGGGAAUCCAAUCCCUUAGAUUGACCUGGAAUACUCCUAGGAGUACUGCUCCAGAUCUAGGAAUUGAGAAUAGGAACAACAUCCUAACCCAGUCUAGAUUCAAUGCCUCCUCCGUCUAUGAAUGGAAUAUAGAUGGAAUGUCUGAAUACAAUAUCCUUAGUCUCUUGCAACAGAUGACCAUGGCAGCCAAUGCCUACAAAACCCAAAGUGGUACCUCCGAUAGAGCCAUUGCUGAGCUCCUGAUAGCUGGAUUUUCUGGCCAGCUUAAAGGAUGGUGGGAUUAUCAUCUCACUCAAGCACAACAACUCCAAAUCCUAGGUGCUAUCCAAACCACAGUAGAAGGAACUCCCAUUCUAUAUGAAAUAGGAAAUCCAAUUGAGGAUGCAGUGUCAACUCUAAUCCUCACUAUUUCCCUUCAUUUCAUAGGAGACCCUUCUCUGCUCAAAGACAAAAAUGCCGAGCUCCUUAGCAACCUUACCUGUAAGAAGCUUAACAACUUCCAAAGUUACAAAGACACUUUCCUAACCAGAGUCAUGCUUAGGGAAGAUUCUAGCCAACCUUUCUGGAAAGAAAAGUUCUUAGCCGGUUUACCUAAGAUUUUAGGUGAAAAAGUUAGGAAUACCAUAAGAGAAGCCUAUAACGGUCAAAUCCCUUAUGAUUUCUACACUUAUGGUGAGUUAGUUAGUCUAACCCAGAAAGAAGGAUUAAAGAUUUGUCAUGACCUUAAGCUUCAAAGACAGCUCAAAUGGGAGAUGAAAAAGACUAGGCAGGAACUAGGUAGUUUCUGUAACCAGUUUGAAUACAACCCAAUAGAGCCCGUGUCUAGUUGCAAAGGGAAAUGCAAAGUUGAUUCUUAUUCAAAAACUUUCAAAAAGAAACGAUUUUCCAAAUAUAGAAAGCCUUCUAAAAGCAAGGAAAAUUUCUAUAAAAAACCAUCUUCUUCCAAAUAUCUUUCAAAAUUUCCAAAGAAAGAUUCAAAAAAAGAUUUUUCAAAAAUNNNNNNNNNNNNNNNNNNNNNNNNNNNNNNNNNNNNNNNNNNNNNNNNNNNNNNNNNNNNNNNNNNNNNNNNNNNNNNNNNNNNNNNNNNNNNNNNNNNNNNNNNNNNNNNNNNNNNNNNNNNNNNNNNNNNNNNNNNNNNNNNNNNNNNNNNNNNNNNNNNNNNNNNNNNNNNNNNNNNNNNNNNNNNNAGAAAGCUCUUCAAGAACAUUAAUAUGCUCACUAGGCAACAAGAAGCUCUUCUUAAAGCUGUAAAGCAUAUUAGUGAUCCUCUUAUUCAAAAACAGGUUUUAAAAGAGAUUUUAAAAACUGAAUCUCUGGUUCCUUCCUCUAGUAAGAAUACUUAUGAUCUUACUAUGAUUUUGGACAAAGGGAAGAAGUUGAAAAACCCUCUUCCUACUGUUCAGGAACUCCAGAAGGAGAUUAAAACCAUCAAAACAGAACUCAAAGAGUUGAAAAAAAACAACAAAAUGAUUCUGUUUUGCUUCAAAGCCUGAUCCUCAAGCAGAAUAGUGAUUCUGAUUCUGAUAAGGAAAAUGAUUUUCAAAACCUUGAAGUUUCUGAAAAUGUUCCUGAAAACUUUAUCAAUGUUUUAAAGGAAAUUACUUCAAGAAAAUAUUUGAUUCAAAUAAAGCUUGUUUUCCCUGGUGAUUUCCAGAUAGAAACCAUCGCCUUGUUUGAUACAGGAGCAGACCUCAAUUGUAUCAACUGCGAACUGGUUCCUAAAAGGUUUCAUCAAGAAAUAAAAGAAAGGCUGACAUCAGCCAAUUCUUCAAAGAUUAAGAUUGCCGGUAAAACUGAAGCCGCAAUUCUUAAUAACAAUAUUGCUUUAAAGAAUGUUUUUAUUCUUACAAAGGAUCUUCAACAAACUGUUAUUUUAGGGACUCCAUUUAUCAAUUUGAUAACUCCCUUCAAAGUAACAACUGCUGGAAUCAUUUUCAAAGCUAAAGAUUCAAAAAUUAUUUUUCCUUUCUUAGAAAAACCAAAAAAAAGAAAUUUGAAUCUUAUCAAAGCUCAUUCUAUUUACAAUUUUGAAAUCAAUACUUUGAUCAAAGGAAAACAAACCCAUCUUUCUCAUCUUCAACAAGAUGUGGGUUUGAAAAGAAUCCUAGAUCAACUGCAAAAUGAUUUAAUUCAAAGAAAAAUUUCUGAUUUUCAAAUAAAAAUUGAGAAUGAACUCUGUUCUGAUCUUUCAAAUGCUUUUUGGAAUCGAAAGCAUCAUAUGGUAGAUUUGCCAUAUGAAAACGAUUUUUCAGAUAAGCAAAUCCCUACUAAAGCCAGACCCAUUCAGAUGAAUGAGUCUUUAGAAAGCCAUUGUAGAAUCGAGAUUAGAGAUCUUGAGUCUAAAGGUUUGAUUUUAAAGUCUAGAUCACCUUGGUCUUUUGCAGCUUUCUAUGUCAAUAAGAAUAGCGAGAUAGAAAGAGGAACUCCUAGGCUAGUGAUCAACUACAAACCUUUGAACAAAGCUCUAAAGUGGAUUAGGUAUCCUAUUCACAACUACAGGAGGCUUUUGAAUAUGGUUUUCUAUCCUAACCAGUUGCUUUCCUAUAGUGUUUAGACAGGUAUUUGAGAAAUUGUUCUGUUGGACAAUGUUCUUGACAUUCCUAUCUAGGUCUUCGCCUACCAAUUUGUAAGGUGUAGCCUCUAUCUCACUCUCUCCAUAAGGAAUGGUUAUCUUCCUAAGGGGAGGAUGCUCAGACUGGACAGUUAGGUUUUCUCGUACCUUCCACUCAGGGGCUUUGUUCCUUACUAUGAUAGGACUAAUGGACUUAUCCUUAAAGGGAUAAAGGAUGUCAUUUUCUUUGCAAUGAAUUUGAAACCAAUCAAAAAAUUUGAUUUGGGCUUUGUUUUGAAUGCAAAAUUGAUAGUAUCUUUCUUGUAUACUAUCAUUUUCUUUUAAAAAAUUCCUAAAAAACCAAAAUUUUUUAAGAUGGUUUUUCUUUGAAUAGAAAUCUUUAUGCAAGAGUUUUUUGUCAAUUUCAAACUCUUUUGAAAUCAUAUUGAUCUCUGCUUCAAGAUUUUGGGUUAUGGCUGAUGGUGAAGAUGGGGUAGAGGUUAUCUCUAUAUCUUCGUCAUCUUUCUUUGGAUCAGUGUAAACUAGUCUGGGGAUAUUGCUUUGGUAAUCAACAUUCUGAAGUGUAUUUGGGACAUCAGAUGUUGAAAAUCUGGGUUGAGUUUGAGAUGGAAUUGGUUCUUUGUAAGGAGCAUAGAUAACAGAAGGUAUUUUGGAUACCCUUCCAAUAUCUAUGGUUGAGGUUGAAGAACCAUCUUCAGAAAAUCUAGAGGAUGUUGAUUUUCUGUUAAAUGUGAUCUUUACCUUUCCAUCUGGGAAUUGGGCUAUGUGUUUGAGGUUUAUGUUUGGUUCUGUUUGCUUUGGAGAUGUAGGUUGGGUUGCACCUUCAAGGAUCCACUCUUCUAGAAGUGUAAUGUCUUUCCAUUGAAUGGUUUUUGGAAUAGUAGCGUUGGAUUUGGAUAGAUCUGUUUGUAGGAACAGUGUUUCUCCUUUUGGUGAGUGAAGUUUGUGUUUGGAACCAAAGGCAGAAAUCAUAGCUUUGUAAUAAAUUUUGAAAAUUAAUGCUAUCGGAAUAGAUCCUUCAAGCAUUUUGUAAUUGUGUGUCUUUAUUUGAAGAACAAUGCUCUUUAAAAUAUUUUUGUCGUUUAAAGAAAUCGUGAUAUUUGGAAAACAAUUGAAAGAAAUAGGUCUUUUAUUGAGACUCGACUCAACAGUACCUAACAAAGAAUCAUAGAAAUUUGUAAACCUAGCAUCCCUAAAGACUGCUAAUAUGGAAGUAUCUAAACCUUCUCUGGUAAGGGGCUUUAUUCCUACCUGGACAAGGCCUAUAUGGAUAUACUUAUAAUCCUUUUCCAUAUGCUUUUGGAGGGUCUUUGGAUUUAAGAGAUAAAUCUCUUCAAAAGGCUUUGAAAUUUGAAUGUCUCUUUCUUCAGUUUUGAUUGUAAAAUCAGUCUUGAAGAGAUGGAACUUUGAAAACUCGUAAAUUUGUUUCUUUUGAAUUUUGGGUAUUUUCCAAUCAUCUAUAUGCUUUGAAAAAUCUUCAAUAGUGAUUUCUUCACUAUUUACUAGACCUUUGUACCUCGAUGAUUCAGAGGCAGAAGAAUUUGAGAAAGAAGAAGAUCUACAAAAGAAAGGUUCUAAAUUCAUUUUAAAAUAAACCAAAAAAACUUGAGGUCUAUCACCAAGCUCAAAAUCUUCAAAUUCUUCCCACAUGAAUCAAGUUCAAGAGACAAUUCUAUCCAUACACAGAUACCCCGAAUCUGAUCGCCAUAUCAGACACAAAACCACCAUUUCUGCCAUAUAAAGAAAGAUUCCUCUUUUUCUGUCCUGUGUCCUAUUCACAUUUCCUAUACCCUCUACCAUUGUGGAAAAACUCUCAAUUCUACAUCAAGCUUCCUUUCAAGCUUAACGAGGAUGUCAAUCCUACUAAGGCUACUCACCUAGGAAUGUCUCCUACAGAUCUGGCUCUUGCCAGAACAGAGUUCCUGGCCCAUCCACAAUAAGGCUUAAUUGAGCCCACAACUUUGCAAUUGCCUGCCAAGCCUUUUAUAUAGAGAAAAGGUCAGAAAAACUAAGAAGGAAAAGAGACUUGUUAUUUAUUACAAGCUUUUAAACUAUUUCUUACAAGAUAACAAGUUCCCUCUUCCUCGUAUCUCAAGCCUAGAAGUCCACAUCUAGAAGGCCCAAUACUAUUCAAAGUUUGAUCUUAAAGUUGGAUUUUGGCAAUUGGGUGUCCACCCUUCAGAAAGAUACAAGACGAUUUUUUGUAUUCCAACUGUCCAAUAUCAAUGGACUGUCAUGCUUUUUGGACUCAAAACAACCCCUCUCUUAUUCCAAAAAACAAUGAUACAGAUCAUUGAACCCAUCCUCUAUUCUUUCCUUAUCUACAUUGAUGAUAUUCUCUUGUUCUCAGAGACCGUUGAAAGUCACCAUAAAAAAGAACUUGAUAAUUUUCCAUAUUAGAAUCUCUCUGUGAAACAGAUCCAGUAAUUUCUUGAAAUACUCAACUAUGUCAAGGAUGCUUUAUCAUAUUUAUCCCAUUACACGUGUCACAUUUCCAAGAUACUAAAAAAGAACCCCCAUCCUUGGACAGCAGAACAAACAAUAACUGUCAGGAAAUUAAAAGAGUUGGCCCAGAAUCGUCCACCACUCACUAUCUCAUCUACAAAAUAACUCAUUCUACAGACAGAUGCAUCAGAUCAUGCAUGGGGAGCUAUUCUCCUUGAAAAUCUUAAUGGUAGAAAAACUGUGUGGCCAUACAUCAGAACAAUUUUCUCCAGCAUAAAAGCAUUACCAUUCUUUCUAAUCAGUCAGUAUUUCUUAGUAUGAAUGAAUAACUCUUCAUUUCUAAAAAUUCUCGAGUUCAACCAGAAAGCUUUACCAGAGCAACAUUUAUUAAGGUUAAAGUCAUGGUUCAGCAAAUAUAAUUUUGAAUUCCAACAUAUAAAAGGAACCAAAAACUUCAUUCUAGAUUUCUUAUCCAGACCCUCAAAACCACAACCAAACCACCAGCAUGUUGUUCUCCUUACCUCAACAACCAACCUUCCAAUAAUCUUUAUUGGCCUCUUCGUCCUCACCAAAAAAAAAACCUCCACAACUUCCCUCUCCUCUAGACCUUCCCUCGCACCUCACAAUUAAACAAGUUAACAGUUUUACCAAAAAUAUGAUGUUCCAUUAUCUAACAGUCAUCCAGCAGACUUUCUCUCUCUCCAUCCAAUCCAAUUUCUUUUAUCCAAAUUAUCCUUGAUGCUUGAUCUAUCAUCUUUCUCCUAGUCAUCCAAAAAUUUAAAGUGAACUAUGGUUUCUUUGGUGCCUUUCCAUAGUAUGUUAUCAUGCAAAUGCAGGGAUUUAUCCAUGAAAAUAUCUCACUUGGUUCAAGAUCUCAUACCAGUGGAAAAAUUAUCUCCUCAAGAUCAUUCAUGAGAAUAAACUAUUCAUAGACAAUAACUCCAAGGCUUCAUGAUAUCAUGCCAUCUAUGUUCUUCACGGGCCUUACUUCAAAUUCUCAGUAGACACAUAUGCUACCUAGAAUAUCUGUCAGUACUGGAGGACAAUUGAAAUGCCCUUACAUCUUGCUCCUCCGCACAUAAUAGAAGAAUUAAAGCGUGCUUUACAAUUAAGAAAUGAUCAAGGAAAGAUCAACGUCUCGACACCACUUGUCUGCACUUACAAUGGACCUAAUAACCAAUGGAUUGAAUACUCCACUUCUGAAUAGUCCACUUUGCCUUUGCUAUCGUCACCUCUGGAUGAUCUAAGUUUGACCAUAGAACAACAAAACACUAUCAUGCAAGAUUUCCAGCCACUAAAGUAUGACAUUGGCCUAUGGUAUCCAACCUUUUAUGGUGAUGUCAAUUCAAACAAUAAAGAAAAGCCAACACCCAAUCUCUCUCCUUCAUAUUUCAUGUAAUAAUUAUAGGUGUACAAAAAAUUAAAGUGUUGUAAUAAUUAAAAGUGUGUAGUAUGAUAAGAUUUCUUAUCUUAUCCUUAUUGUCUUUAUGUAUGUAAAGGAUAAGACUCUAUCUUAUCGUUAUUGUCUUAUUAAGGGAUAAGGGUACCUUAUUCAUAUUGUCCUUAUGUAAGGCUCCGUCUUUAUAAAAGGAGAGCCCUUAGUAGUUUGGGGGAUCAAACCCCUUCCUCCUUAGUCAUAAAUAAACGCUUUCUUCUCUAUGGCUAUCUAAAUUUCUACCUCUUUCCUCUUGAUUCUUAAACUAUGAGUUCUUAACUUGCAUGAUCUAUUCUUCUUAUAGUUCAAAAGGAUUAGCUCGGCUUUAUGAAUCCAAUAGAGCAUAAAGGCCACCCAUGGCUAAGAAAGUGGCUUCCCUUGCUCUUAGUUUAAGGAUUUACCCAGCCUCAAUAAGAAUUGGAAUAUUUUUAGCAAAUUUUAGAAAAGAUAGAUAGAUUUAUUAAAAUGUAAAAGAUCAUAAUUUAGUAUGUAAUUAAGUUUUAAAUUUAUUAGUAAAUUUUUAAAAUAAUUAAAAUGCAUAAAUUCUCUUUUUUUUUUUGUUUCUUUUUACUAUUGACUAAUAAAUUCAAAAAUUUAGGCUAGGUUCAUGAAUAUAAUUUAAAACUUUAUAUUUGUAAGUACUUGAAAUGUAUUAGAAGAUAUAAGUUUUUUAUUUCAUUUAAAAUAAGAUUUUGUAUACAUUCAUAGAUUCACAAGAAUCUAAUUUAUAUUUAUAUAUGUAAUCUGAUUUCUAAAAAAUAUCACAUAUGCGUAAGAAAUUUUAACAAUAAAUAAUUUUCAUAUUUGUCAUAUUUUAUUAAUAAUAUAUAAAUAAAAUUAAAAUUAAAAUAUUAAUUAAUAAAAUGCUUGUUUAAUUAAAUAAUAACCUUAAUCUUUAAAAUUAGUAUAUUAAUUAUAUCUUAUUAUUAAUUUAUAAAUAUAAUAAAUUUAUUAGCUAUUAAUAAAAAAUAUUAAAAAUUACAAUAUAUUAAAAAUGAUCAUGAUAUUAUCAAUUAUCAAGCUAAUAAUUGUCUUACUGAAUAGAUAUAUUAAAACAUUUAGUAAAAAUUUAAAAAAGAACAGUUGAUAAUUGAUUUAGUCUCAAUUAGCCAUUGAUUGUAUCAACUCUAUUUUAGAGAUUUUUCUUAUCAGUUGAUAGCUGAUUUGAUAUAUUUAUUUAUUUAGACAUUAUUAUUCUUAUUAAAAUAUAUUAAUAAUAAUUUAUUUUAAAUUGAUAUCAUAUAAUUAAAUUUUUAUAUUUUAUAAUAAAUAAUUAUUAUUUUAAAAUUAUUCUUAAUAAUUAAAUAAUUAUAAAAUUUAUAAUUAUAAUAUUUGAAAUUAACAAAUUUUAUUAGUAGAAUUUAAAUUUAGAUUUUUACUUUUAAAAUUUUUUUCUUGACCAGGUAACCUCUGUUUGAGAAUACCCCAAAACCUAAAUCAGAGGCAUAAAUAUUUUUAAUCACAUAUACAAUUAAGUUUAAAAAGUUAAUUAUAAAUUUUUUGAUUAUUAUAAAUUAUUUUUAUUAAUUGAUAUUAUUAAAUAUAAUAUAAUAUAAUUUUUAAUAAUUUUUAAUGAUCAUUUAAUAUACUAAUAGCAACUAUUAAUAAAUUUAUAAAAUUUUAUUAAAUAAUUUAAUUUAUCAAUCAUCAGCUACCAACUAUUAACUUCGCUACCGAAUCAAUCAAGCUCUUAAUUUAUGAUAAGUUAAAUUUUUAAAUAUAAAGAACUUUAAAUUUCAAAUUUCUAAUUAAAAGAUAUUUUUGAUCCUAAAAUGCAGAUUAAUGAUUAGUUAUAAUUAAUUAACAUUUUAAUCACUAGAAGAAACUANNNAGUUAAUAAAAAAAAAAAUUGGAAAAAAAGCUGAAGCAUGUAUAGAUCUAGAAUUUAAAGAAAAGGCCGAGUAAAAAGAUGAAGUACCUGAGAGGAUGAUAGAUCUGAAGGAAGGAAGGAAGGAAAAUGGAGGAAUCAGUGGAAAGCAUUAGCACGAGGGGUGUUGGAAAGAUCAUAUUUACCAAUUUGAAUCAAAACUAUGAAAAUUGAAAAGGAUCUUUCCAUCACUCUCAUGCUGAUAAUUCCCUAUGAAAUUCUAACCUCCCCUUUGAUUACUUUUAUUUUCCAGCGCACCAAACAAGACUUUGAUUGUACUUUUAGCUGUGCUUUUCUCUGUCUCUGUUAUUUUCUUUAUAAACAGCAACUCAGAGAAGGAAGGAAGGAAAGCAGACGGAAGCAUCAUCUUCGAUGAUCAUGGACCCUUCGUUUUUUGCGUGUUGUACACUGUUGUCGAGUCUAUAGAACUCCACUCUCUCUCGUCCAAAUAAUAAUUUAAAAAUUUCUUGAAGCAUUGAGAUUUUAUUCUGCAACAAUUUAGUGUUUUCUUAAAACAUUAUUUUCUGAAGUAUGCAU